rnacentral:RNase_P_RNA from 1 species
UUGGGUAUUCAGGUUAGUCGCUGUCUUUAUGAUAGAGGAAAGUCCGAGCUCCACAGAGCAAAAGGGUAGCUAACGGCUACUAAAAGUAAUUUUAAGGAAAGUCGCCACAGAAAAUAGACCGCCAUUAAGGUAAGGGUGAAAAGGUGGUGUAAGAGACCACCAGUUUUUUAGGAAACUAAAAAAGCUUGGUAAACCCCCUUUGGAGCAAGACUAAAUAGGAAAGAUUAAGGGGUUGCUCGCUCUCUUUCAGGGUAAGUCGCUAGAGAUUAUAAGUGAUUAUAAUUCGAGAAAAAUGAUUAACAAAUACAAAACUCGGCUUAUUGAAUGCCUAAAAAU